rnacentral:rRNA from 1 species
UGGGGAAUAUUGCACAAUGGGCGCAAGCCUGAUGCAGCCAUGCCGCGUGUGUGAAGAAGGCCUUCGGGUUGUAAAGCACUUUCAGCGAGGAGGAAGGUGGUGAACUUAAUACGUUCAUCAAUUGACGUUACUCGCAGAAGAAGCACCGGCUAACUCCGUGCCAGCAGCCGCGGUAAUACGGAGGGUGCAAGCGUUAAUCGGAAUUACUGGGCGUAAAGCGCACGCAGGCGGUUUGUUAAGUCAGAUGUGAAAUCCCCGGGCUCAACCUGGGAACUGCAUUUGAAACUGGCAAGCUAGAGUCUCGUAGAGGGGGGUAGAAUUCCAGGUGUAGCGGUGAAACGCGUAGAGAUCUGGAGGAAUACCGGUGGCGAAGGCGGCCCCCUGGACGAAGACUGACGCUCAGGUGCGAAAGCGUGGGGAGCAAAACAGGAUUAGAUACCCUGGUAGUCCACGCUGUAAAACGAUGUCGAUUUUGGAGGUUGUGCCCUUGAGGCGUGGCUUCCGGAGCUAACGCGUUAAAUCGACCGCCUGGGGAGUACGGCCGCAAGGUUAAAACUUAAAUGAAUUGACGGGGUCAUAGCUGUUUCCUG